AUCAUAUCCAUAAGUCUCCCGGGAAUCUGCAGGGAAAACAAAUGGGCCAGAGUGUGAAUGGAUAAUGCUUCACCAGUGGGAACCUGGGAACCAUCAGUCCAAGCCUUCAGCAGAAUGAUCCAUUCUAUUCAGCAUAAAAUGAGUUCUUUGGCAAAACAGAGGAAAGGCAGCUUAACCACCUACUCCUUGGCUGUAAGAUCUAUGGAUCUGGAAGGUGCUCAAGCAUAGUCCUGUGGACAUAUGGGAAGAUGCUUGAGGGAAUUCAUCUGAAGGUGAGUUGAAGCCACUUGGCCACAUACCUGCAAAUGUGGCUGUUUUUAAAGAUCUGGGCUUUUCCCCCAUUCCUCAGGUCCAUUCUUAAGAUGGCAACUGGAAGAGAAGGCUACUCUAGGAAGCUGGACACAGCAUCCAACACAAUACAGAUUAGAACAAGGACUCUUCAGCAAGCCCUGCUCCUUUUUGACAAAGAUCCAGGACUCUGUCCAGGUGAAAGACACAUGGCCCUGAGGUGAGCACCGCCC
rnacentral:lncRNA from 1 species